CAGGGUGGCAGCCGGAGCGGGCGAGCGAUGCGGGGCGGCGGCGGGCGGCCGCAGCGAGCGCAGGGACAUGAAGAGGGAGCAAGGAGCGAUCCGGAGGAGCAGCAGCUGCCCUAGCCGCCGCGAUGCCAGUGGCCGCGGCUACCACCGUCCUCCAUCUUGACUGGGAGGAGGAGGAGGGUGGGAAGGGGGAGUCGGGAAAGGAAGCGAGUCCCCGCCCGAGGAACAAGGGCGGUGGAGCCGGGAGAGGGGGGAGCUCGGGAGUCUCCGGCUGCGUCCGGCACCGGUCGGGAUGGGGCGGGGCUGGGCGGCGCAGGACGUCCGCGCUCCGGCUGGGCCGCGGCGGCUGGCGCUUCCCGGCGGCUCCCGGCGGUGCGGCCGCCUGCUGGGACCUCUAGGUUUGCUGUUGGGGGUUCUUUUUGUUUGCUUGGGGUUUUUUUAGGUGCUUCCGACUGGCAUUCGCCGUACUACCAGCUCGCCGGUGUGCGGAAGUCGGACUGGAGGUCCAAAAAAAAAGGGAAAAUAUCCAGUCCGCCUGCCGCGGGGGCGAGCGGCGGGAGCGUGGGAAGCGGCGCGUGCCCCGUGCUCCUGCCUGCCGCUCCCCGGGCGCCGCCGGCCUCCGAGGGACCGUGCUCGGGAAGAGACCCCUGCCCGAGGCCGGAAGGAGCCUGGCUUAGCGCUGGAAGGCACAGGGAAAACGGGAUAUGCAAAUUUCUUAAAAACGUGCCUUUAAAAGGCUUCCCUUACAUUGCUGUCUGUAUUGUGGAUGUACUUUUUUCUUCUGUCAUCACGGGGACACUUCAAAAGGUUUUAUGCUGUGGAUCGGUUCAAUUAAUAUAAAAUAAUCAAGCAGCUCACGCUGGGGAGUGCAAUUGGAUAUAGGUCGUGAUGUGUCCCACCACCGUCCUCCUCCUCAUGUUAAGGUGCCAGUGUAAGUUUGAUUCCAGGUAAGGUUGAGGAGGGGUUGGCAGAGCAGGAAUCGUAGCAGUUGCACAAAUUGAUGAAUCUGAGUAACACAUCUCAAAUGUUCUUGGUAAAUAGUGAAUUGUUAGCUCACUUGAAAUGCAGAAGUACGGCUUCAGGAAUUAAACUCCUGAACUUUUGGUAAGUGAUAAAAGCAAGGUAAGUUCAAGACAAAUGUGGUUCAUAGAAUCAUAGAAUAUCCUGAGUUGGAAGUAACUCACUAGGAUCAUCCUAGGAUCCUGCACAUGUCCUGCACAGGACCACCCCAAGAAUCCAGAUGUGCUGAGAGCAUUGUCCAAACACUUCCUCAACUCCAGCAGGCUGUGGUCCGUGAACACCUCCCUGGGGAGCCUGUUCCAGCGCCCAAGCAGCCUCUGGGUGAAGAACCUUUUCCUAAUGCCCAACCUAAACCUCCCGUGACACAGCUUCAUGUCCUUCCCACAGGUUCUAAGGGAAUCCUGACAGGUUCUGUUCGUUUAUUACAGGCAGAUGAUGAGGAAGUCAUCUGUAAGCUUCCCAAGGCUUCAAACUAAAACCGGAUAUGAAUCGUCUAUAUGGAGAAUGUUGCACAUUGGAAAAUUGUGUGAAUUUGAAAGGCUGUCAUUAGGGGAUAGCCAUAUUCUGCUCAACUCCUACUUUGCUUAUCUCAGUUUUGGUCAGCCUGCAAGUGUUUUUGCACCAAUUGCAAUGGUAAAUGCAGGAAAGGAAAAAAUAUUCAUGGUGUAAAAGAAACUUUAGGGGUAAUGUGACCUGUGAAAUAUUAAUAUUGUUAAGGCAGAGAUUCAAAUUAGAGUUCUAGAUUGUAUACUAGGAGUUUUAAAUCUUAAUGGUGUUUAAGUUCUGUGCUUAAUUUCUGUAUUUAUAUAUAAUGUCUUGGGGUGAUUUUAUGAUGUGUAUCCCAUAUCGCUGCCCUAUGCCCAGAAAUUAACCUCAAGACAUAUAUAUCUAUAUAUAUAAGCAUUUAAUUUUAUGUAAGCACAUUGUUUAAAAAGAUUUAUACCCCAAUAAAAUAAAUGUCCAAAGAGAA